CGCGUAGGGCUUGAAUGCUAAUGUUUUGAGUUUCUUUUAUAUUGUAUUUUAAUUUUUUUUUAUUUUGGUGCUGCUUAAAUGAUCCCAUCAGCGUAACAAAAUUUGUGAAGGUGUUCCAGUUUGCUGGCAUCGAGUUGUCUAUUUAUGAUGUGCCCAUUUAUUGCUUCUAUCCUGUAAGUGCAAUAUUUAUUAAAGGUUUACAUUGUUUUAGAAACUCUGCACUAUUAUUUCUUAUUUUUUUCUCCUAUAUGCUGCAAUUCCAAUACGAGGAUAUUCUUCAAUGCAUUUGAUAUGCCAUCAAUCAAUUUGGGUUUGUGAGUGUGCAUUUUAUCCAUUUUAAUAUUGUUUUAGACAAGGC